rnacentral:lncRNA from 1 species
GACUGGCCUGUUAUUGGCUGUAUAGGUGAGGAUGACCAUCUCCAUCCCUGAGUGCUGGGAUUAGAGAUGUGUGCCGGGAUGCCUAGUUCUUAAUUGAGCCCAGCUUUGUGUGUGCUAGCAGAGACUUGAGGCUUCUACUAAUAAAAGAAGAAUCUUAGACAUCUGCUACCUGAGCCAGAAGCCCACAAAGAAAGUCAGGUGCGCUGCAAGACCAAGUCCGAGGAACAAGCGUCGGUGUGUCACCGACUACAACCAAUGCGUCACCGACUACAACCAAUGCUCCGAGAGCAGCUUCCUAGACCAGUAUCCUAGGAACUACUUCCUAAGCCAGAACCCCGAGAGCAGCGACCCAUGGGGCUUGAAGCUGGCCAUCCUUGGGAUUUUCUUUAUUGUGUUGUUUGUCUACAUAAUUGUGGAAAAGAAGCCGCUCUUCGGUUAAGCCCUUGAGGAGCAAAGCAGCGUCUGCAGUGCUCGGAUCUUUAGCUGGAACCACAGAGCUGUGCUGAAGGGCCAUGGCUACAACCAGGCAACCCCUCCCCGCCCUACACUGGCUCUCCUGGCUGUUUCUGGGUUCAGCCAGGUGGAGGAGCAAGGGCAGAACCAGGCAGCAUGGUGGUGCAUGAUGGUCUGUAAGCCAAGUAAGCCAUCAUUAAAGGUGCUGAUACAUCAGAA